rnacentral:lncRNA from 1 species
AAUUGUUGUGUGGUGGGGUGCUCAAACACCUACAAAAACUAGCCGGGGACGCGGUUUUACCCAUUCCCCGCGAGGCCUCAUGAGCAGGAGCGACGGAAACAAUGGAUCGCCGCCGUUCGUCGGGAAAGUGCAGAUGGCAGUCCGUGGCAGCCUACCAGACACACCAAGAUCUGCAGCUGUCACUUUGUAAAUGGCGAGAAGCCGAACGAUUCGAGAAGCCCUGCCUCUCUACCAACCUUGUUUCCAAGUGUGUACAGGUCUACCAACGUUGCUACUGCACACAGGUAUGAAAGGCUCCGGUCACGUGAGCAGCACGGACAAGCCACAUGGAGCUGUGUGUUGCCAGUUCCUGACGACCAAGAAUGGGGUGGUGCAACUGCAGUGCACACAAG